AUGAGCUUGAUGAGGAUGUUGAGCGAGGGGCCCGAGGUGUCCUUGAGAGGGUCCCCGAUGGUGUCGCCGAUCACAGCAGCCUUGUGGCAGUCUGAGCCUUUUGGGCCCAGGCUCUUUGCGUGCUCAGAUGCGCCAGCCUCAAUGUAUUUCUUCGCGUUGUCCCAGGCACCACCAGUGUUUGAUGCUGAAAUGGCACUGAACACCAGAAACCAGAGCACCGGCAAGGACACCAGAGAGGGUCUCAACACCGAAGAAGGUCCCGACGAUAAGAGGUGUCAGCAUGACAAGAGUACCCGGGGGGAUCAUCUCCUUGAUGGACGCAUCGGUGGAGAUCUUCACACAUGUCGCAUAGUCAGGCUUGGCGGUGCCCUCCAUGAGCCCAGGGAUCGUGUUGAACUGCCUCCGCACUUCCUCCACCAUCUUGAGAGCCGCGCUUCCAACACUCUUCAUGGUCAUCGCAGAGAACCAGUACGGGAGCAUAGCGCCAACAAGGAGGCCAAUGAAAACGUUUGGUGUCAGAACAUCAACAGUUGUGAUCCCAGCACGGCUCACAAAAGCACCGAAGAGAGCAAGGGACACCAAGGCAGCUGA
rnacentral:rRNA from 1 species